rnacentral:rRNA from 1 species
GGUAACAGAGCUAGCUUGCUACCCGCUGACGAGCGGCGGACGGGUGAGUAAUGCAUAGGAAUCUGCCCGAUAGUGGGGGAUAACCUGGGGAAACCCAGGCUAAUACCGCAUACGUCCUACGGGAGAAAGGGGGCUUCGGCUCCCGCUAUUGGAUGAGCCUAUGUCGGAUUAGCUAGUUGGUAAGGUAAUGGCUUACCAAGGCAACGAUCCGUAGCUGGUCUGAGAGGAUGAUCAGCCACAUCGGGACUGAGACACGGCCCGAACUCCUACGGGAGGCAGCAGUGGGGAAUAUUGGACAAUGGGGGCAACCCUGAUCCAGCCAUGCCGCGUGUGUGAAGAAGGCCCUCGGGUUGUAAAGCACUUUCAGCGAGGAAGAACGCCUAUCGGUUAAUACCCGGUAGGAAAGACAUCACUCGCAGAAGAAGCACCGGCUAACUCCGUGCCAGCAGCCGCGGUAAUACGGAGGGUGCAAGCGUUAAUCGGAAUUACUGGGCGUAAAGCGCGCGUAGGUGGCUUGAUAAGCCGGUUGUGAAAGCCCCGGGCUCAACCUGGGAACGGCAUCCGGAACUGUCAGGCUAGAGUGCAGGAGAGGAAGGUAGAAUUCCCGGUGUAGCGGUGAAAUGCGUAGAGAUCGGGAGGAAUACCAGUGGCGAAGGCGGCCUUCUGGACUGACACUGACACUGAGGUGCGAAAGCGUGGGUAGCAAACAGGAUUAGAUACCCUGGUAGUCCACGCCGUAAACGAUGUCGACCAGCCGUUGGGUGCCUAGAGCACUUUGU